rnacentral:rRNA from 1 species
UUGACAUGCAGAGAACUUUCCAGAGAUGGAUUGGUGCCUUCGGGAACUCUGACACAGGUGCUGCAUGGCUGUCGUCAGCUCGUGUCCGUGAGAUGUUGGGUUAAGUCCCGUAACGAGCGCAACCCUUGUCCUUAGUUACCAGCACGUUAUGGUGGGCACUCUAAGGAGACUGCCGGUGACAAACCGGAGGAAGGUGGGGAUGACGUCAAGUCAUCAUGGCCCUUACGGCCUGGGCUACACACGUGCUACAAUGGUCGGUACAAAGGGUUGCCAAGCCGCGAGGUGGAGCUAAUCCCAUAAAACCGAUCGUAGUCCGGAUCGCAGUCUGCAACUCGACUGCGUGAAGUCGGAAUCGCUAGUAAUCGUGAAUCAGAAUGUCACGGUGAAUACGUUCCCGGGCCUU